UAGGGAAUCUUCCGCAAUGGACGCAAGUCUGACGGAGCAACGCCGCGUGAGUGAAGAAGGAUUUCGGUUCGUAAAACUCUGUUGUUAGAGAAGAACAGCGCAUAGAGUAACUGUUAUGCGUGUGACGGUAUCUAACCAGAAAGCCACGGCUAACUACGUGCCAGCAGCCGCGGUAAUACGUAGGUGGCAAGCGUUGUCCGGAUUUAUUGAGCGUAAAGCGAGCGCAGGCGGUCAAUUAAGUCUGAUGUGAAAGCCCCCGGCUCAACCGGGGAGGGUCAUUGGAAACUGGUUGACUUGAGUGCAGAAGAGGAGAGUGGAAUUCCAUGUGUAGCGGUGAAAUGCGUAGAUAUAUGGAGGAACACCAGUGGCGAAGGCGACUCUCUGGUCUGUAACUGACGCUGAGGCUCGAAAGCGUGGGGAGCGAACAGG
rnacentral:rRNA from 1 species